ACCCUGAAGACAUUUUACAGGCUGGUCACACCCUGUGCAGGAGUUAGUCUCAGUCAGGACACGGCAUGGACAUGAGGGUCCCCUCUCAGCUCCUGGGGCUCCUGCUGCUCUGGCUCCCAGGUGCCAGAUGUGACAUCCAGAUGACCCAGUCUCCAUCCUCCCUCUCUGUGUCUGUAGGAGACAGAGUCACCAUCACUUGCCGGGCAAGUCAGGGCAUUAGCAAUGAGUUAGCCUGGUAUCAGCAGAAACCAGGGCAAGCCCCUAUGCUCCUGAUCUAUGCUGCAUCCCGUUUGCAGACGGGGGUCCCAUCUCGGUUCAGUGGCAGUGGAUCUGGGACAGAUUACACUCUCACCAUCAGCAGCCUGCAGCCUGAAGAUGUUGCAACUUAUUACUGUCUACAGGAUUAUACUACCCAGUACACAGUGUUACAAGCCAUAACAAAAACCCCCCAGAGAAGCAGAUGUGUGAGUCUGCACUGCCCUAGGUGCUCCUCCUGGUGCCUCUAUCUGCAGAGAACAUCUCCCAAAUUGCAUCCACACUUUGAAGUUUCUGUAGAAAGUGCCAUGAAGCCUCCUCUGUUCCUUAACUAUCUUUCCAUCUCCUCAUCCCCAGUGGCACAGACAUGGCAAACCCUCUCCUGGUUGCAUUAAGAACAGAGAUGAUUA